rnacentral:rRNA from 1 species
GUGCCAGCCGCCGCGGUAAUACGGGGGGUGCGAGCGUUGUUCGGAAUUAUUGGGCGUAAAGAGCGUGUAGGCGGCUGGACAAGUCAGAUGUGAAAGCCCUGGGCUUAACCCAGGAAGUGCAUUUGAAACUGUCCGGCUCGAGUAGGGGAGAGGAAAGUGGAAUUCCUGGUGUAGAGGUGAAAUUCGUAGAUAUCAGGAGGAACACCGGUGGCGAAGGCGACUUUCUGGCCCUAUACUGACGCUGAGACGCGAGAGCGUGGGUAGCAAACAGGAUUAGAUACCCUGGUAGUCCACGCUGUAAACGAUGUUCACUAGGUGUUGGGGGUAUUGACCCCCUCAGUGCCGCAGCUAACGCAUUAAGUGAACCGCCUGGGGAGUACGGUCGCAAGAUUAAAACUCAAAGGAAUUGACGGGG